AACGCAUAUUGCGCUCGAGACUCCGGUCAAGAGCAUGUCUGGCUCAGCGUCGUUUCACCCACUCGCCACCUUUUCCCUCUUUUCGAAGGGCGGUCUAGGAGGGCGGACCUGGCUUUCCCCGUGACUCUCACGACGAACGGGGUCGGCUGAAGAACAGAGGCUUGAGCAUGGCGCCGCACAAUGGCAGCCGGCUUGGUAGGUGGCUCACGCUACAUGCCGUCGGAGGCCGCAGCGCCGUGCUGUUACGGCCCGCAGGAACCGACCCACCGCGGUCGGACACUCAACCAUCGACCUGAGCUCAGGCAAGACUACCCGCUGAACUUAAG
rnacentral:misc_RNA from 1 species